AGAUGAGUUAAAGUAGUACGUAUUUGAAUACAUAAAAUUAAUAUCAACUAUUUUGAAUUGAUCGCGAGCAAUUGAUUUACACUUGACGACUUUUUGUUUUAUAGAAAUAAUAAUAUAGAGAUAGAUUGAAUGAUUUAUUGAUUGGUGUUGUUUAACGCCACUUUCAACACGUGUUUUAUUUCGUGGCGGUCAGAUUGUAUCGGAGUGCCCAGGGAAAACAAUCGACCUUCAGCAGGAAAACUAGCAAUUCAAGACAAUUAAGGACAUGGGAUUUCAAGGUUGACUAGUGACCAACAUAAAUUCAUAACUCGGUUUAUAUUGUUCAAACAAUAGUUACUAAUAUAGAAAUAGAUCAAUUAAAGACAAUCAAAGGAAUAACCGCAACGUGAAGAAGCAACGCACAAAAGAUUGAUCUAUGAUGACCGAAGUGAUAUCAACUACAGCA
rnacentral:lncRNA from 1 species